CGGCUCUUCCUGCCUGAGUAAUACAACGGCGGCUGCGUGUAUGUCCGUCUGGUACGGGCCGUGACGUAAGAAACCCGUCUCCCAGGUCUUCUUGCUGGGCUGAUUUUACCCAGAUUGUAGACCUUCUUUUCCAGAGAAGUACAUGAGCACCGCCCCUCCAGAGAUGAGAAGGAUGGCGCCUCCCCAACCAAUGAAAACCGCAGCUCCAAGUUCAAAUCUAAACAGGAAACAUCAAGACUGGCUGGUCUUUGAAGAUAUGCUGAACUGCAGCUCAGAUCCUGUUCCAGAUCUUGAUGAUCUUGAUGAUCUGGAUGAUCCUGCAGACCCG